rnacentral:rRNA from 1 species
AUUGAACGCUGGCGGCAUGCCUUACACAUGCAAGUCGAACGGCAGCACGGGUGCUUGCACCUGGUGGCGAGUGGCGAACGGGUGAGUAAUACAUCGGAACAUGUCCUGUAGUGGGGAUAGCCCGGCGAAAGCCGGAUUAAUACCGCAUACGAUCUACGGAUGAAAGCGGGGGACCUUCGGGCCUCGCGCCAUAGGGUUGGCCGAUGGCUGAUUAGCUAGUUGGUGGGGUAAAGGCCUACCAAGGCGACGAUCAGUAGCUGGUCUGAGAGGACGACCAGCCACACUGGGACUGAGACACGGCCCAGACUCCUACGGGAGGCAGCAGUGGGGAAUUUUGGACAAUGGGCGAAAGCCUGAUCCAGCAAUGCCGCGUGUGUGAAGAAGGCCUUCGGGUUGUAAAGCACUUUUGUCCGGAAAGAAAUCCUUGGCCCUAAUACGGUCGGGGGAUGACGGUACCGGAAGAAUAAGCACCGGCUAACUACGUG